AAAAAGGAGCCUGAGCAGGUGCAGAAGGCAGCAGUCCCCAUCAUUGCUGCUGAGGAGGAAGAGGAAAUGUCACGAGGGAACCCACUGGAUGUUUUGAUUGUCUUUGAAGACGGAGAGGUGAUGUCAACCAAGUCUAGGGUCAGUGCACUGCUGCUGUUUUUGCACUUUAUGCCCUCAUUUAGAGUACACUAACUUCUCAAAGCAGCUUUACAGAAAAUGCAUGUGUCUACAUUACAAUUUAGCCUGACCUGUACUAUAAAUACUAUUCUUUUCAACUUGAAUAGUGUUGUAUCUUUAGUACAGGUCAGGCU